AGUGGUACAUACUUUGCUGUUUGUGUGAAGUGUCUGUGUGUACUAACACACAGACACUUCACACAAACAGCAAAGUAUGUACCACU